GCCAGACUCCUACGGGAGGCAGCAGUGGGGGAUAUUGCACAAUGGGGGGAACCCUGAUGCAGCGACGCCGCGUGGGUGAAGGAGCGUUUCGGCGCGUAAAGCCCUAUCGGCAGGGAAGAAGGAGGACGGUACCUGACUAAGAAGCCCCGGCUAACUACGUGCCAGCAGCCGCGGUAAUACGUAGGGGGCAAGCGUUAUCCGGAUUUACUGGGUGUAAAGGGGGCGCAGACGGCAGCGCAAGCCAGGAGUGAAAGCCCGGGGCCCAACCCCGGGACUGCUCUUGGAACUGCGCGGCUGGAGUGCAGGAGGGGCAGGCGGAAUUCCUGGUGUAGCGGUGAAAUGCGUAGAUAUCAGGAGGAACACCGGUGGCGAAGGCGGCCUGCUGGACUGCGACUGACGUUGAGGCCCGAAAACGUGGGGAGCAAACAGGAUUAGAUACCCCCGUAU
rnacentral:rRNA from 1 species